GGAAAAUGAUCAGCUACUUCCCUUUUGUUUUUCCCAUCAAUUAACAAAAUAAAAAUGGACAAUGAACAUUAACAGAUGAGGAAUGGUUUCAGAUUGUAAUCAGUGUUUAAUAUUGCUUAAAUUCUGGCCACUUUUCACUUUCAGUUAGUGUUAGAUUUUAAUAUAGACGAUUGGAAAGUAUAUGGAGGGAAAAAAAAAACAUCCUGAUGAUAUAUUUUCUAAAUCUACUUUUUAUUUUUA
rnacentral:misc_RNA from 1 species